AUUGAACGCUGGCGGCAUGCCUUACACAUGCAAGUCGAACGGUAACAGGGAGCUUGCUCCGCUGACGAGUGGCGAACGGGUGAGUAAUGUAUCGGAACGUACCUUUUAGUGGGGGAUAACGUAGCGAACGUUACGCUAAUACCGCAUAUUCUCUGAGGAGGAAAGCAGGGGACCUUCGGGCCUUGCGCUCAUAGAGCGGCUGGUAUCAGAUUAGCUAGUUGGUGAGGUAAAGGCUCACCAAGGCGACGAUCUGUAGCGGGUAUGAGAGGAUGAUCCGCCACACUGGAACUGAGACACGGUCCAGACUCCUACGGGAGGCAGCAGUGGGGAAUUUUGGACAAUGGGGGCAACCCUGAUCCAGCCAUGCCGCGUGAGUGAAGAAGGCCUUCGGGUUGUAAAGCUCUUUCGGCCGGGAAAAAAUCGCAUGGGUUAAUACCCUGUGUGGAUGAUGGUACCGGAAUAAGAAGCACCGGCUAACUACGUGCCAGCAGCCGCAGUAAAAC
rnacentral:rRNA from 1 species